rnacentral:rRNA from 1 species
GACGAACGCUGGCGGCGUGCUUAACACAUGCAAGUCGAACGGAAAGGCCCUGCUUUUGUGGGGUGCUCGAGUGGCGAACGGGUGAGUAACACGUGAGUAACCUGCCCUUGACUUUGGGAUAACUUCAGGAAACUGGGGCUCAUACCGGAUAGGAGCUCCUGCUGCAUGGUGGGGGUUGGAAAGUUUCGGCGGUUGGGGAUGGACUCGCGGCUUAUCAGCUUGUUGGUGGGGUAGUGGCUUACCAAGGCUUUGACGGGUAGCCGGCCUGCGAGGGUGACCGGCCACAUUGGGACUGGGAUACGGCCCAGACUGCUACGGGAGGCAGCAGUGGGGAAUAUUGCGCGAUGGGCGGAAGCCUGAUGCAGCAACGCCGCGUGCGGGAUGACGGCCUUCGGGGUGUAAACCGCUUUCGCCUGUGACGAAGCGUGAGUGACGGUAAUGGGUAAAGAAGCACCGGCUAACUACGUG